CGCGGCCUAUCAGCUUGUUGGUGAGGUAACGGCUCACCAAGGCGAUGACGCGUAGUGGGUCUGAGAGGACGACCCGCCACAUUGGGACUGAGAUACGGCCCAGACUCCUACGGGAGGCAGCAGUAGGGAAUAUUGCGCAAUGGCCGCAAGGCUGACGCAGCGACGCCGCGUGGGGGAAGAAGGCCUUCGGGUCGUAAACCCCUUUCAGCAGGGACGAAAUUGACGGUACCUGCAGAAGAAGCGCCGGCCAACUACGUGCCAGCAGCCGCGGUAAUACGUAGGGCGCAAGCGUUGUCCGGAUUCAUUGGGCGUAAAGGGCUCGUAGGCGGCUUGGCAAGUCGGCCGUGAAAACCCAGGGCUCAACCCUGGGACGCCGGUCGAUACUGCCAUGGCUAGGGUCCGGUAGAGGGGAAUGGAAUUCCCGGUGUAGCGGUGAAAUGCGCAGAUAUCAGGAGGAAUACCGAUAGCGAAGGCAGCACUCUGGGCCGGUACUGACGCUGAGGAGCGAAAGCGUGGGGAGCAAACAGGAUUAGAUACCCUGGUAGUCCACGCCGUAAACGUUGGGCACUAGGUGUGGGUCCCAUCCAACGGGAUCCGUGCCGCAGCUAACGCAUUAAGUGCCCCGCCUGGGGAGUACGG
rnacentral:rRNA from 1 species